rnacentral:lncRNA from 1 species
AAAAAAAGGCUAGUGACAUCUUGUUAGAUUUAUAAAUCGUGUACAUCUUUUAAUUUAUGGAAGAUCAUGAUCUUUUUACUAUGGAUGAUGAUAAUUGUUUCGAAGUUUUGCUCCUUCUUUCUUUCUUUAUUGGUGAAUAUUGUUCCUGGGUUUUUUCUAAAUUUUUUGAUUUUUGUCAUUUGCCACUUUUAUUUCGUUAACUAUCCUAACUCUCAACUUUUAACUUUUUUUUACUUAAAAACUAACUUUUAACUUUUUUUUGUCAUUUGCCACAUUUAUAUUAUACCUCUCGGUGUUUUUUUAGUUCGAAUUUAUAUAAAUUACAAAUAUAAUUUAAACUUAACUUUAUUGUUCAAUUUAUAAUAUGAGUCAAAAUUUCAGCCAAUUGAGGGGUGGUGUAGCUUGAAGGAUUAUGAGAUAAUCUCUGAAGCCCAAGCACAUAGUCGAAUCUUCCAUCAAACGCGAGAAUCGCCAGUGAAAAUGACGGUUGUGGUGACGAUAUUGAAU